CGUGGGAAUCGAACGGGAUUAGAUACCCCGGUAGUCCACGCCCUAAACGAUCAUCACUGGUUUUGAGGAGUAUCGACCCUCUUCGAGACGAAGCUAACGCGUUAAGUGAUGCGCCUGGGUAGUACGAUCGCAAGGUUAAAACUCAAAGGAAUAGACGGGGACUUGCACAAGCGGUGGAUGAUGCGGCUCAAUUCGAUGACAAACGAAGAACCUCACCAGGGUUUGAAACCCAGACGAAAUCCUUAGGAAACUUUGGACCUCGCAAGACGGCUGGGCAGGUGAUGCAUGGUCGUCGUCAGUUCGUGGCUUGAGUUGUUCCCUUCAGUGGGGUAACGAACGCAACCCUCGUUGCCUGUUUUAUAUGUCAGGCGAGACUGCCCCCUCACGGGGGAGGAAGGUGAGGAUGACGCCAGAUCAGCAUGUCCCUCUGAUACCCUGGGCUGCACGCAUCAUACAAUGCACGCGACAACGAGAAGCAAUACCGCAAGGUGGAGCAAAUCUUUAUAAACGCGUGCUCAGUUCGGAUUGGGGGCUGCAACUCGCCCCCAUGAAGCUGGAAUCGCUAGUAAUCGCGGGUCAGCUAUACCGCGGUGAAUACGUUCUCAAGUCUUGUACUCACCGCCCGUCAACUCAAGAGAGCCGGGAGUGCC
rnacentral:rRNA from 1 species